rnacentral:rRNA from 1 species
AGCGAACGCUGGCGGCAGGCCUAACACAUGCAAGUCGAACGGAUCCUUCGGGAUUAGUGGCGGACGGGUGAGUAACACGUGGGAACGUGCCCUUUGGUUCGGAACAACUCAGGGAAACUUGAGCUAAUACCGGAUGUGCCCUUCGGGGGAAAGAUUUAUCGCCAUUGGAGCGGCCCGCGUCUGAUUAGCUAGUUGGUGGGGUAAAGGCCCACCAAGGCGACGAUCAGUAGCUGGUCUGAGAGGAUGAUCAGCCACAUUGGGACUGAGACACGGCCCAAACUCCUACGGGAGGCAGCAGUGGGGAAUCUUGCGCAAUGGGCGAAAGCCUGACGCAGCCAUGCCGCGUGAAUGAUGAGGGUCUUAGGAUUGUAAAAUUCUUUCACCGGGGACGAUAAUGACGGUACCCGGAGAAGAAGCCCCGGCUAACUUCGUGCCAGCAGCCGCGGUAAUACGAAGGGGGCUAGCGUUGCUCGGAAUUACUGGGCGUAAAGGGAGCGUAGGCGGACUGUUAAGUUAGAGGUGAAAGCCCAGGGCUCAACCUUGGAAUUGCCUUUGAUACUGGCAGUCUUGAGUACGGAAGAGGUAUGUGGAACUCCGAGUGUAGAGGUGAAAUUCGUAGAUAUUCGGAAGAACACCAGUGGCGAAGGCGACAUACUGGUCCGUUACUGACGCUGAGGCUCGAAAGCGUGGGGAGCAAACAGG